CAACCCUACAAUAACGCGUCCUGCCUGGGUGAGUAAGAGCGAGAAUGAAAGCAGGGUGCCAGAUGCAGUAAAUCUGAGUUUCCAACUUCCAGGUAAGGGGAGCUGUCUGAAAGACGACCGAGGGCAUCCAGCUGGCUGUUGGAUGGCUGGAGAAACUCAUCAGGAGGCAGGUCCUUCCCCCUUCUAAAAAGCGAUCCAAGAAAGUGAGAUAUCUUCUUCUGGUGGAGGUGUUUAGGCUGAAGUAUCUGAUUUGAGGGGGGAUCUCUAAUCCA
rnacentral:lncRNA from 1 species